rfam:Camelus ferus unplaced genomic scaffold scaffold1073, whole genome shotgun sequence.
GAAGGUAUAGCUCAGUGGUAAACUGCCUGCUUAGCAUGCACAAGGUCCUGGGUUCAAUCCCCAGUACCUCUG